UUCGCAUGGAAGUGCUAUGAAACACGGAGCAAUCUGUGGCCUUUGGAUGGGCCUGCGGCGCAUUAGCUAGUAGGUGAGGUAACGGCUCACCUAGGCGACGAUGCGUAGCCGACCUGAGAGGGUGAACGGCCACACUGGGACUGAGACACGGCCCAGACUCCUACGGGAGGCAGCAGUAGGGAAUCUUCCGCAAUGGACGCAAGUCUGACGGAGCAACGCCGCGUGAGUGAUGAAGGUUUUCGGAUCGUAAAGCUCUGUUGCCCUAGACGAACGAGUCGGAGAGUAACUGCUCUGGCUGUGACGGUAUAGGAGAAGAAAGCCCCGGCUAACUACGUGCCAGCAGCCGCGGUAAUACGUAGGGGGCAAGCGUUGUCCGGAAUUAUUGGGCGUAAAGCGCGCGCAGGCGGUUCAGUAAGUUGGAUGUUUAAUGCCGGGGCUCAACCUCGGCACGCAUCCAAAACUGGUGGACUUGAGUGUAGGAGAGGAAAGUGGAAUUCCACGUGUAGCGGUGAAAUGCGUAGAGAUGUGGAGGAACACCAGUGGCGAAGGCGACUUUCUGGCCUAUAACUGACGCUGAGGCGCGAAAGCGUGGGGAGCAAACAGGAUUAGAUACCCUGGUAGUCCACGCCGUAAACGAUGAGUGCUAGGUGUUAGGGGUUUCGAUGCCCUNGGUGCCGAAGUUAACACAGUAAGCACUCCGCCUGGGGAGUACGCUCGCAAGAGUGAAACUCAANGGAAUUGACGGGGACCCGCACAAGCAGUGGAGUAUGUGGUUUAAUUCGAAGCAACGCGAAGAACCUUACCAGGUCUUGACAUCCCCCUGAAUCUGUUAGAGAUAGCAGCGGCCUUCGGGACAGGGGAGACAGGUGGUGCAUGGUUGUCGUCAGCUCGUGUCGUGAGAUGUUGGGUUAAGUCCCGCAACGAGCGCAACCCUUGAUGUUAGUUGCCAGCAGGUUAAGCUGGGCACUCUAACGUGACUGCCGGUGACAAACCGGAGGAAGGUGGGGAUGACGUCAAAUCAUCAUGCCCCUUAUGACCUGGGCUACACACGUACUACAAUGGCCGGUACAACGGGAAGCGAAACCGCGAGGUGGAGCGAAUCCUUAGAAGCCGGUGUCAGUU
rnacentral:rRNA from 1 species